UGUGGCAGAUUAGUGCAAUAAAUUUAAACUUUAUAUAUAAAGAAAUUUCUCUAGAAAUA
rnacentral:tRNA from 1 species